rnacentral:rRNA from 1 species
AUACGUAGGGUGCGAGCGUUGUCCGGAAUUACUGGGCGUAAAGAGCUCGUAGGUGUUUGUCGCGUCGUCUGUGAAAUUCCGGGGCUUAACUCCGGGCGUGCAGGCGAUACUGGCAUAACUUGAGUACUGUAGGGGAGACUGGAAUUCCUGGUGUAGCGGUGAAAUGCGCAGAUAUCAGGAGGAACACCGGUGGCGAAGGCGGGUCUCUGGGCAGUAACGGACGCUGAGGAGCGAAAGCAUGGGUGAGGAACAGGAUUAUAUGCCCUGGUAGUCCAUGCCGUAAACGGUGGGGGCUAGGUGUAGGGGUCUGCCACGACUUCUGUGCCGUAGCUAACGCAUUAAGCGCCCCGCCUGGGGAGUACGGCCGCAAGGCUAAAACUCAAAUGAAUUGACGGGG